rnacentral:sRNA from 1 species
CUUUAGCCCUGAUGGGAGAGGAAAUCCUGGCACUGUGAGAUUGCCGCGCAAGCUCGCAAUGACAAAUUGCAAAGGACAGCAGGAAUUGCC